rnacentral:miRNA from 1 species
UAUCUUUUGCGGGGGAAUUUC